CAGAGAGUUGAAGCAGACACUACUGGAGAGCCCAGAUGUAGCAGAGGUGCUGUAUAGGUGGGGGGUGGGGGAGCAGAAAGCAGAGGGAAAUAGGGGUAGAGGUCGAAGACAAAGCCAGCAGCAGAGCUUCAAACAGCACACUGACGGAUUUACUACCCAUACGAUAAAGCAAACAACCCACAGAGCUUCUCAGCACGGUGGGGUGAAAGACUGGACUUGCAAGCUGGCGGCAGGCUGUCCCAGUGGAGGGAACAUAAGGUGUGGCGUCUACUUCAGAUACAACACACCUCUUAGGAUCACAGCUCACCAAGAAGUUCCAGUCGGUGUUGAUGCGGUCAGCCAGGCCGGUGACGAGGAUCGCGAGGUAGACGGAGGAAAGGAAGAAGGUGGUGACGGAGACGAACAUCACCCAGCCCUGCAGCAGAGGCACGGGCACGUUGGAGGAGGCCACCAGGAUCCAUACCAAACCCCCAAAUAACUGGGGAUAAAAAACAGAGACUCUCAGUGGUGACAGUGUGAGGUGUUAGUGUAUAUACUGGCAAACAGCUCUGCAAUCUUCAAGACGGGAGGUUUCAAAAACACAGGAUCCAUUUGAAUGUUCAUGGUUUAGGGUUUCAGGCUUGUCAGCAGUUUAUGAUACAUUUGGAAGACAAAGGUACGCGUGCUGGUACAAUGUAUUGUACUCAGGGAUACACAACUUCCAAUUAUCUUCCAAUUCCAAUUCCGAUUCCUAUACCUCAGCUUAAAGGACAAUUCGAGAAUUUUCACGUUUUCCCCCCAGUCCUUCUGCAAUAACCCACGUCUCAUGAAACUUUAGUGUUAAGCAAAGACCCAGAAUAACAAUUUUGGUGGAAAAAAAACACUUUUAGUUGACAUUUCAUGGACAGUCGCAGUUGCCCCUUAAGAUUUCAUUGUAGCCGCUGCCACCGUGUCGCGGCUGCCGCUAGAGACGUUGAAAACUACCAGACUUCCACUUUAAGAUAUCUAUGGAUAGCUUUACUAGUGCUCUCUCUCUAUUUCAAUCUACACAAGUCAUUGGGAUCACUUUUACAUGAAGUAACAUGAGCCAGCUGCAGCCAUUCAGAUGCAAUGCUACGAAUGUAACUGGGAGCAUUCGCACUUAAUUUGACCCGCGAUGCAGAUUUAGUCAUUUGUGAGGCCAUGAGGAUAAAAUACAGUGUUGUGUUAGAGAAUGCAUGUCAGAGUAGCAAAUGUUAUCUUUGUGGUUUCCAAAAGGGCAAACAUGAAGGUAACACAACUGAUAAAAGCACUAAAGUGUCAUUUUAAUGCAGCUUUUUAUGGAGCAUAUAUUGUAGCUAAUAAAAGGUGGAACAUGUUGGAAAAGAGUUUUAGUAUCUGGUACAACUCAGAGUUCAAAUGACUGAAGUGUAAAUACAAAUAAU